CACCCGCAGGAAGCCAGUUGGGGAACCUUGACCUAGUGGUAAACUAGCUAGCUUUCUAACAAGCUAACAGUCUAGCUUGCUGCCGUCUAGUUUCUGUUGCACAGGAAGUGUAAGGACUAAGGAUAUCAAUGGUGCUUUCAAGACAAAUGGUAACGAGAGAGAGAGAGAGAGAGAAAAAGAGGUCAAAAUCGGACAUCGUUUAUAUUCAGGUCGGAAAGUCGGAGCUCUACAAAGAUGUUCGCGUUUCUGACUUGGAAUUCCAAGUUGGAUGACCGUUCAAAAAUAUUUUUCCCAGUCUGAGUUCGUAUUUUUACGAGUUCCCAGUUGUCUUCUAGGAACAUAGAGCGUAUAUGCUUGUUCCUAGGUUGUCUAAAACACACUGAAGUCGGAGAUUUCCGAGUUCCGACUUGUUUUGAACGCGGCAUCUGACUGUCGACCUGUCUGUCCAUUUGCUUAAUAUACUUAUGUCCACAAAGCAAUUUGUCUCACUCGUCAUUUUUUUUGUAUAAAGUCAUUCUGAAACAAUUUAUUAAAUCGUCUAGAAAGCAAAACAUGUAUAGGUUGCUAGCUUGCUACAGUACUCUAGCAACCAAAUAGUGUCGACUUGUUAAAAAACAAAAUCUCACAUUUCGUAAACAGGUGUGGACUUAACAAUGACACGUUACUUAGGGCCCUUCCCAACAAUGCAGAGAACAAAAAAACAUCAAUAGAAAUAUAUCUAAUAACAAGGAAUAAAUACACAAUCAUGAGUAAUGAUAACUUGGCUAUAUACACGGGGUACGUUAUUCAAACUCCCGACAAUAACAUCUAGCUAACUAGGUUGGUGUUACCCAGCGGUUUACACAUCGGUGUGAUAUGACUAGCUAAUUCUCUAACAAACCCAGAUUUGACACGCCAAGACUGUCUAGCUUUGCUGCUGACUAGUUUCUGUUGCAAAGGAAGUGUAAGGACUAAGGUAACUUAAUGAAAUGUAACUACAUUCUUACCUCCCAUUUCCUUUAGUUUUUUUUCCUUAUGACAGAACAAGUUAUCCGUUAAACUAACUUCGCUAUGUAUUUGUUUCCUAUCAGGAUAUCAAGACAACUGUAAAACCACACAAAAAGUUUCCGAGUUUGAUGACCAUUCAAAAAUAUUUUUCCCAGUUGGGACUCUUUCCCCCCUGAGUUCCCAGUUGUUUUGAACGCGAUAUAUGAGAGCGCUUUUCCAUUCUAUCACGCCAACUGUAAAGUCACAGUGAAGUUACGAUACCUGACAUUUUUUUUGUGACGGAAAAACACGUCACGUCCUGGCUGGCUGCACAGGUGUGCCACUGAGAGGCCUACUAAACCAGUGUCCUUAGAUUUCCAUAAUAAAAAUAUAGACCAAAUACAUGUUAUUUUUCCACACAUUUAUUGGUUCAGCACAGGCUUCAGAAACAGUGCAUUACAAUGAAGUUUAACACUAAUAAAUAACCUUUUAUUACAAAGGAUUUUCCUUUCAGUCAGAAGAUUGGCAACAAUGUCAAAGGAGAAUGGCUGGGGACUUGCAUUGUAGUUUUCCCACUUAGAGGUGUUACAAACAGAAAAGGCAAACGUCAAGUUAUCCUACCAAAUAUAAAAUUAACACAUCUUUUCAGAGUAGACGAGUGGUUCUAGCAGCAGACAGGGUGGUUAAGAUAAACUUAGAGUAUGGGCCUACUCAUAGAUUGUGGAAUGCUCACAAAAUUGAAGAUAUAAAUUAAACGUAUAUACGAAUCAGCUCGCUUGGACGUGGAAGAAGUGAGUUGGUCUGUUACGUGCAAUCUAUUUCUAUCUGCAUCUAUGAAUGUUUAGCCCUGAAUGCCACUGGUGUAGGCUAAAGCAGAAACAGACCGACAGUGCAGGUAUCAAACGUUUGAUCCCACUGACAAAACAGUAUCAAUGGGACACACUACUCAAGAGGAAA